rnacentral:misc_RNA from 1 species
UAAUAAGUGUUUUAUGGCACUUUUUAAAUCCAUACCCACCUCGUGUGCAAUGUUGGUCGAUCUUCUUUUUUUGAGGAUCGACCAAACAUCAACCUUUAUCUUUUAACUCUUUGUCUGAAAAAUAUUAUGAAUAAACAAUUCAAAAUA